rnacentral:rRNA from 1 species
GGAGUUUGGACCGUGUCUCAGUUCCAAUGUGGCCGAUCACCCUCUCAGGUCGGCUACUGAUCGUAGGCUUGGUGGGCCGUUACCUCACCAACUACCUAAUCAGACGCAGGCCCAUCCUUAGCCGAUAAAUCUUUGACGGAUUCAACAUGUGAUAAAUCCGUAUUAUGGGGUUUUAAUCAUCGUUUCCAAUGGCUAUCCCCCUGCUAAGGGCAGGUUGCCUACGCGUUACUCACCCGUCCGCCGCUUUCCACCAACAGAAUCUACCGAAGUUUCAUCAAAUGGCUUCUCGCUCGACUUGCAUGUGUUAGGCACGCCGCCAGCGUUCAUC